GAAGGUAUAGCUCAGUGGAAGAGUGUCUGCCUACCAUGCCUGAGGUCCUGGGUUCAAUCCCCAGUACAGCCA
rnacentral:tRNA from 1 species